GAUCAUGGCUCAGAUGAACGCUGGCGGCAGGCCUAACACAUGCAAGUCGAGCGGAAACGAGUUGUCAGAACCUUCGGGGGACGAUAACGGCGUCGAGCGGCGGACGGGUGAGUAAUGCCUAGGAAAUUGCCCUGAUGUGGGGGAUAACCAUUGGAAACGAUGGCUAAUACCGCAUGAUGCCUACGGGCCAAAGAGGGGGACCUUCGGGCCUCUCGCGUCAGGAUAUGCCUAGGUGGGAUUAGCUAGUUGGUGAGGUAAGGGCUCACCAAGGCGACGAUCCCUAGCUGGUCUGAGAGGAUGAUCAGCCACACUGGAACUGAGACACGGUCCAGACUCCUACGGGAGGCAGCAGUGGGGAAUAUUGCACAAUGGGCGCAAGCCUGAUGCAGCCAUGCCGCGUGUGUGAAGAAGGCCUUCGGGUUGUAAAGCACUUUCAGUCGUGAGGAAGGUAGUGUUGUUAAUAGCUGCAUCAUUUGACGUUAGCGACAGAAGAAGCACCGGCUAACUCCGUGCCAGCAGCCGCGGUAAUACGGAGGGUGCGAGCGUUAAUCGGAAUUACUGGGCGUAAAGCGCAUGCAGGUGGUUUGUUAAGUCAGAUGUGAAAGCCCGGGGCUCAACCUCGGAAUUGCAUUUGAAACUGGCAGACUAGAGUACUGUAGAGGGGGGUAGAAUUUCAGGUGUAGCGGUGAAAUGCGUAGAGAUCUGAAGGAAUACCGGUGGCGAAGGCGGCCCCCUGGACAGAUACUGACACUCAGAUGCGAAAGCGUGGGGAGCAAACAGGAUUAGAUACCCUGGUAGUCCACGCCGUAAACGAUGUCUACUUGGAGGUUGUGGCCUUGAGCCGUGGCUUUCGGAGCUAACGCGUUAAGUAGACCGCCUUGGGAGUACGGUCGCAAGAUUAAAACUCAAAUGAAUUGACGGGGGCCCGCACAAGCGGCGGAGCAUGUGGUUUAAUUCGAUGCAACGCGAAGAACCUUACCUACUCUUGACAUCCAGAGAACUUUCCAGAGAUGGAUUGGUGCCUUCGGGAACUCUGAGAAAGGUGCU
rnacentral:rRNA from 1 species